UACGAAGGGGCUAGCGUUGCUCGGAAUCACUGGGCGUAAAGCGCACGUAGGCGGACUCUUAAGUCGGUGGUGAAAUCCUGGAGCUCAACUCCAGAACUGCCUUUGAUACUGAGGGUCUUGAGUUCGGGAGAGGUGAGUGGAACUGCGAGUGUAGAGGUGAAAUUCGUAGAUAUUCGCAAGAACACCAGUGGCGAAGGCGGCUCACUGGCCCGAUACUGACGCUGAGGUGCGAAAGCGUGGGGAGCAAACAGG
rnacentral:rRNA from 1 species